rnacentral:rRNA from 1 species
GAGAUGCGAAAGCGUGGGGAGCAAACAGGAUUAGAUACCCUGGUAGUCCACGCUGUAAACGAUGUCGAUUUGGAGUUUGGUGGCAUGCAUGCUGGGCUCCGAAGCUAACGCGUUAAAUCGACCGCCUGGGGAGUACGGCCGCAAGGUUAAAACUCAAAUGAAUUGACGGGGGCCCGCACAAGCGGUGGAGCAUGUGGUUUAAUUCGAUGCAACGCGAAGAACCUUACCUGGUCUUGACAUCCACAGAAUUUUGUAGAGAUACGAAAGUGCCUUAGGGAGCUGUGAGACAGGUGCUGCAUGGCUGUCGUCAGCUCGUGUUGUGAAAUGUUGGGUUAAGUCCCGCAACGAGCGCAACCCUUAUCCUUUGUUGCCAUCGGUUAGGCCGGGAACCCAAAGGAGACUGCCGUUGAUAAAGCGGAGGAAGGUGGGGACGACGUCAAGUCAUCAUGGCCCUUACGACCAGGGCUACACACGUGCUACAAUGGCGCAUACAAAGAGAAGCAAACCAGCGAUGGCAAGCGGACCUCAUAAAGUGCGUCUAAGUUCGGAUUGGAGUCUGCAACUCGCACUCCAUGAAGUCGG